CUUACACAUGCAAGUCGAACGGCAGCGCGGGGCAACCUNNGCGGGGAGUGGGGAACGGGUGAGUAAUAUAUCGGAACGUGCCCUGGAGUGGGGAAUAACGCAGCGAAAGUUGCGCUAAUACCGCAUACGAUCUAAGGAUGAAAGCGGGGGAUUCGCAAGAACCUCGUGCUCCUGGAGCGGCCGAUAUCUGAUUAGCUAGUUGGUGGGGUAAAGGCCUACCAAGGCAUCGAUCAGUAGCUGGUCUGAGAGGACGACCAGCCACACUGGAACUGAGACACGGUCCAGACUCCUACGGGAGGCAGCAGUGGGGAAUUUUGGACAAUGGGCGAAAGCCUGAUCCAGCAAUGCCGCGUGAGUGAAGAAGGCCUUCGGGUUGUAAAGCUCUUUUGUCAGGGAAGAAACGGUGAAGGCUAAUAUCCUUUGCUAAUGACGGUACCUGAAGAAUAAGCACCGGCUAACUACGUGCCAGCAGCCGCGGUAAUACGUAGGGUGCAAGCGUUAAUCGGAAUUACUGGGCGUAAAGCGUGCGCAGGCGGUUUUGUAAGUCUGUCGUGAAAUCCCCGGGCUCAACCUGGGAAUUGCGAUGGAGACUGCAAGGCUAGAAUCUGGCAGAGGGGGGUAGAAUUCCACGUGUAGCAGUGAAAUGCGUAGAGAUGUGGAGGAACACCGAUGGCGAAGGCAGCCCCCUGGGUCAAGAUUGACGCUCAUGCACGAAAGCGUGGGGAGCAAACAGGAUUAGAUACCCUG
rnacentral:rRNA from 1 species